rnacentral:rRNA from 1 species
GGGUGCGAUCAUACCAGCACUAAUGCCCCAGAUCCCAUCAAAACUCCGCAAUUAAGGUGCUUGGGCGAGAGUAGUACUAGGAUGGGUGACCUCUUGGGAAGUCCUCGUGUUGCACCUC